GACGAACGCUGGCGGCGUGCCUAAUACAUGCAAGUAGAACGAGUUGCGAACGGGUGAGUAAAGCGUGGUAACCUGCCUCAUAGCGGGGGAUAACUAUUGGAAACGAUAGCUAAUACCGCAUACUUUUGGAUGGACCUGCGUUGUAUUAGCUAGUUGGUGAGGUAAAGGCUCACCUAGGCGACGAUCCCUAGCUGGUAUGAGAUGAUGACCAGCCACACUGGAACUGAGACACGGUCCAGACUCCUACGGGAGGCAGCAGUGGGGAAUAUUGCACAAUGGGAGCAAGCCUGAUGCAGCCAUGCCGCUUGUAUGAAGAAGGCCUUCGGGUUGUAAAGUACUUUCAGCGGGGAGGCGUUACCCGCAGAAGAAUCACCGGCUAACUCCGUGCCAGCCGCCGCGGUAAUUC
rnacentral:rRNA from 1 species